AGCACGGGCUUCGGCCUGGUGGCGAGUGGCGAACGGGUGAGUAAUACAUCGGAACAUGUCCUGUAGUGGGGGAUAGCCCGGCGAAAGCCGGAUUAAUACCGCAUACGAUCUAAGGAUGAAAGCGGGGGACCUUCGGGCCUCGCGCUAUAGGGUUGGCCGAUGGCUGAUUAGCUAGUUGGUGGGGUAAAGGCCUACCAAGGCGACGAUCAGUAGCUGGUCUGAG
rnacentral:rRNA from 1 species